AUUGAACGCUGGCGGCAUGCUUUACACAUGCAAGUCGAGCGGCAGCGCGGGCUUUGGCCUUGCGGCCAGCGGCGAACGGGUGAGUAAUGCAUCGGAACGUGCCCAGUAGUGGGGGAUAGCGCGGCGAAAGGGGCGCUAAUACCGCAUACGACCUGAGGGAGAAAGCGGGGGACCGUCGGGCCUCACGCUAUCGGAGCAGCCGAUGUCGGAUUAGCUAGUUGGUGGGGUAAAGGCCUACCAAGGCGACGAUCCGUAGCUGGUCUGAGAGGACGACCAGCCACACUGGGACUGAGACACGGCCCAGACUCCUACGGGAGGCAGCAGUGGGGAAUAUUGGACAAUGGGGGCAACCCUGAUCCAGCCAUGCCGCGUGCGUGAAGAAGGCCUUCGGAUUGUAAACCACUUUUGUUCGGGAAGAAAGCCUCUGGGCUAAUACCCCGGGGUGAUGACGGUACCGGAAGAAUAAGCACCGGCUAACUACGUG
rnacentral:rRNA from 1 species